rnacentral:lncRNA from 1 species
AAACCUCCAAGCCAGGUCUGCAGCCAACAUCCUCCCUGUAUUGCUGAGGCAUGGCAAGUCAACUGGAAAUUCAGAGUACCAGGAGGGAAGUCCAGACUUAUUUUGCAGAGGAAGGUUCUGCUGUGAAAAGUCCUGUGCAUCUCUCAGUGGUUUCACCUUGCACUCAGGUUUUAGGAACAUUUGCUGUCCUAAAUGAGUACCUUAUGUCAGAAAUUUCCACAGACACAUCACUCUGAGAAUCAGAGCAAAACCACAUUUUAAAUUCUCAGAAUCUUAAUCAACUGGAAUUCUUGUUCUGAGGAAGAAUCUAGAAAUAUGAAUAUCAUUUGGAGAGGAAGAUGGGAUCCAGCUGUUAAGGUAAUCAUGAGAAGGACAAAGGUGCUUCUCCAGAAAAAAAAAAGUUUGCUGCUCCCAGCAAUUGAAAACUCUUAACCAAAGACUGAGGCUUUUUAAAAAUCUUUAUAUUGAUUUGGGACUUUUAUAUUUUUUGGGUUUAUCUCUAAAUGCCAUUCAAAAAAUAAUUGUUGCAAAUGUUUAGCAGAAAUGGCUGUUUCAGAGGUGCAUUUGAGACUUAGUAAUUUCACUGUUUCAGACAAAAUGAUGUGCACUGAAGUGGCUGCUGCAUUUGGGAGACAGUGAAAGCUCUCUUCUUCAUAAAUUAUGACUAAGCUGAGAAUGAAGUUAUGUGCCAGGA